rnacentral:lncRNA from 1 species
UCAUAAGUCAUCCAGUGGGCUAGGCACGGUGGCUGACACCUAUAAUCCCCACACUUUGAGCCUGCCAAAGUGCCUUUUUUUGUGCCUUUCACAUAAAGACUAUGACACAGCUAAGCUAUUCAUGUACUAAUAAAUACCUGCCCUGAGCUGUGUGACCACGGACACCACCCUAUAAUAUGGCCAGUGUGUAGGAACUCUGCAGGCUCAGAUCAUUCCAGACAUACAUGCAGAUGUUGGAACUCCCUUGCACAGUGACUCAUGAUCCCAAGGCUGAGUGCUGAGGGCAGGAUUAACCUCAGCGAUUGUUGCUGGCAUCAGUGCAGCCCUGGGACCAGAGCACACCUGGGUGACUCGAAGAAGCCUUCCAAAAAGCGUGUGAAAAGGAAGCCCUACUCUACUACCAAGGUGACUUCAGGGAGCACAUUCAAUGAGAACACAAGAAGCUAUGCUGUGCACACCAACCAGUGUAGGAGACCUCAUGGCUCCCGGGUAAAGAAGAAGAGGUACCCACAAGAAGAUGACUUCCAUCAUACAGUCUUCAGCAACCUUGAAAGAUUGGACAAGCUUCAGCCCACUCUUGAAGCCUCUGAGGAGUCUCUAGUUCACAAGGACAGAGGAGAUGGAGAGAGGCCAGUCAACGUGAGGGUGGUGCAGGUGGCCCCUCUGAGGCGUGAAUCUACUCCCCAUGAGGACACCGUACACGACAUCACUAACGAGGACGCCACACACGACAUCGCUAACGAGGAUACUGUACACGACAUCGCUAACGAGGCCGCCGACAAGGGCAUCGCCAACGAGGAUGCCGCCCACAGCAUCGCCAACGAGGACGCCGCCCACGGCAUCGCCAGCGAGGACGCCGCCCACGGCAUCGCCAGCGAGGACGCCGCCCACGGCAUCGCCAGCGAGGACGCCGCCCAGGGCAUCGCCAACGAGGACGCCGUCCAGGGCAUCGCCAUGGAGGACGCCGUCCACGGCAUCGCCAACGAGGACGCCGCCCAGGGCAUCGCCAACGAGGACGCCGCCCAGGGCAUCGCCAAGGAGGACGCCGCCCAGGGCAUCGCCAACGAGGACGCCGCCCAGGGCAUCGCCAAAGAGGACGCCGCCCAGGGCAUCGCCAAGGAGGACGCCGCCCAGGGCAUCGCUAACGAGGCCGCCGACAAGGGCAUCGCCAACGAGGAUGCCGCCCACGGCAUCGCCAGCGAGGACGCCGCCCACGGAAUCGCCAGCGAGGACGCCGCCCACGGCAUCGCCAGCGAGGACGCCGCCCACGGCAUCGCCAGCGAGGACGCCGCCCAGGGCAUCGCCAGCGAGGACGCCGCCCAGGGCAUCGCCAGCGAGGACGCCGCCCAGGGCAUCGCCAACGAGGACGCCGCCCAGGGCAUCGCCAAAGAGGACGCCGCCCAGGGCAUCGCCAAGGAGGACGCCGCCCAGGGCAUCGCCAAGGAGGACGCCGCCCAGGGCAUCGCCAACGAGGACGGCGCCCACGGAAUCGCCAACGAGGACGCCGCCCAGGGCAUCGCCAACGAGGACGGCGCCCAGGGCAUCGCCAGCGAGGACGCCGCCCAGGGCAUCGACAAGGAGGACGCCGCCCAGGGCAUCGCCAACGAGGACGCCGCCCAGGGCAUCGCCAACGAGGACGCCGCCCAGGGCAUCGCCAACGAGGACGCCAUCCAGGGCAUCGCCAAGGAGUACGCCGUCCACGGCAUCGCCAACGAGGACGCCGCCCAGGGCAUCGCCAAGGAGGACGCCGCCCAGGGCAUCGCCAAGGAGGACGCCGCCCAGGGCAUCGCCAAGGAGGACGCCGCCCAGGGCAUCGCCAACGAGGACGCCGCCCAGGGCAUCGCCAAAGAGGACGCCGCCCACGGCAUCGCCAACGAGGACGCCGCCCAGGGCAUCGCCAACGAGGACGGCGCCCACGGAAUCGCCAGCGAGGACGCCGUCCAGGGCAUCGACAAGGAGGAUGCCGCCCAGGGCAUCGCCAACGAGGACGCCGCCCAGGGCAUCGCCAACGAGGACGCCGCCCAGGGCAUCGCCAAAGAGGACGCCGCCCACGGCAUCGCCAACGAGCUGUAUACGACAUCGCUAACGAGGACACCCUACAAGCCGUCGCUAACAAGUACACUGUACACAACAUCGCUAAUGAGGGCACUGUACAAGACAUCACCAAUGAGGGCGCUUUAUACGACAUUGCUAAUGGCACCGACAAGGCACGCUAACGUGGACGCUGUACACGACAUUGCUAAUGAGGACAGCGUAUAAGACAUCGCUAGUAACUAUCGCAAGAACAAAAAACCAAACACCGCAUAUUCUCACUCAUAGAUGGGAAUUGAACAAUGAGAUCACAUGGACACAGGAAGGGGAAUAUCACACUCUGGGGACUGUUGUGGGGUUGGGGGGGGAGGGAUAGCAUCGGGAGAUAUACCUAAUGCUAGAUGAUGAGUUAGUGGGUGCAGCACACCAGCAUGGCACAUGUAUACAUAUGUAACUAACCUGCACAAUGUGCACAUGUACCCUAAAACUUAAAGUAUAUAUAUAUAAAAAAAGACAUCGCUAGUGAGCACGCUGUAUACGACAUCGCUAAUGAGGACACCAUACAAGGCAUCGCUAACGAUGACGCUGUACACAACAUCACUAAUGAUGACACCGUAUAAGACAUCGCUAAUUAUGACGCUGUAUACGACAUCGCUAAUGACACCGUACAAGGCACGCUAACGAGGAUGCUGUACACGACAUCACUAAUGAGGACAGUGUACAAGCCAUCACUAAUGAGGACACUGUAUAUGGCAUCGCUAACGAGGACACUGUACAAGGCAUUGCUAACGAGGACGCUGUACACAACAUCGCUAAUGAGGACACCAUAUAAGACAUCACCAAUGAGGAUGCUGUAUAUGACAUCGCUAAUGGCACCCACAAGGCAUGCUAACGAGGACGCUGUAGACGACAUUGCUUAUAAGGACACCGUACAAGACAUCGCUAACGAGGACGCUGUAUACGACAUCGCUAAUGAGGACGUUGUAUAUGACAUCGCUAAUGAGGAUGCUUUACAAGACAUAGCUAAUGAGGUUGCUGUAUAUGACAUCGCUAAUGAGGACAUUGUAUAUGACAUCGCUAAUGAGGACGCUCUAUACGACAUCACUAAUGAGGACGCUGUAUACAACAUCGCUAAUGAGGACGCUGUAUAUGGCAUCGCUAAUGAGGAUGCUGUAUACGAAUUCGCUAAUAAGGACGCUGUAUAUGACAUUGCUAAUGAGGACACUGUACAAGACAUCUGUAAAAAAGAAGAUGCUGCCAAUGAGCCAUUGACACUGGAGAAUGAUACGUACCCUGAAAUAACUCACUUCCUGAGGAAAAAGCGCCAUCUCUAGGAUUUGAUUGUGGAGAGCAUAUCUGAUGAUGGGGAUUUGUAGGACUUUAAAAAGCACUCAUGUUUCCAUCCUCACUGUUGACUCCUGGCUUAAAGGGAUCUCCCGGGGUGAGUGAGGAGGCGGGAUCGGACCCUGGCAGUCUGACGGCAGCACCUGUGUUCCUCUGCACUGGGCCGUGGAUGACAUUACACACCUUGCCACUCCCACGGUCCUGUGUGUUCCGGAUAUUUUAAAAUAAUGGCUAUAAGGUUGAGCACUUCAGGAUACGCUGUUUUGCUGUGUGCAGAUGGAGGCAGUGGCUGGAGUGAAUGAACGGCAACACUUGCUGGCAACCGGCAGAAGCUGAGAGACAGGGAACAGGCUCUCCUCCAGAGCCUCCAGGAGCCAGGCCUUUGGACACCUUGAAUGUGGGCUUCUGGGAGACCAUGCGUUUCUGUUAUAAGCAGCCCAGUCUCUGGCAGUUUUUACGGCUGCCCCGGAACACUCAUCUAUACCUGUCUGACAAGGUCAAGCUCCAAGGAAGGGACUCUCUACAUAUCUACAUUGUUUGCAGAUUUUACAAUAAUCAUUUAUUCUUGCAUGGCUGAUCAUUGUUAACCAAUACAAAUAAAAUAAUAAAGAAAUGACCCACAUUUUA